GCCACUACAAGCACAGAGAAGAAAAUGAGGAAGUGAGUUAGGGAGAUAAUUGGGGGAAGAGUAUUCUAGAUAGCUUUUAGAGCAUUUUAGAGGUUGGCAAAUUAGAAGCCUUGCUCCUAGAACAAGAGGAGUUUGCUCAAAGAACAAGGUGACCAGUGUUGCUGGGGCUGAGUGAGUGAUAGGGAAGGGAAUGGAAGCUGAGGUCAGAGAAGUAAUGAUGGAGGGUGGUGGGAGAUGACAUACAGCUUUAUAGACCAUUCAAAAGACAUUCAGUUUUACAAGAGGAGGAACACUGGAGGGUUGUGCGUAAAGGCAUGACAUGAUGUAACAUGUUUUUUAAAGAACACACUGGCAAUUAUGUGAAAACUAUACUGGGGUGAGAGUUGGGGGAGGCAAGAGAAAUCAGUUAGGAGGGUUGUGAUGGAUAAUACUGAGUGUCAGCUUGGUUGGACUGAAGGAUACAAAGUAUUGUUCUUGGGUGUGUCUGUGAGGGUGUUGCCAAAAGAGAUUAACGUGAGUCAGUGGACUAGGAGAGGCAGACUCACCCUCAAUCUGGGUGGGCACCAUCUAAUCAGCUGCCAGCCAGUGUGGCUAGAAUAAAGCAGACAAAAGAAGUUGGAAAGAGCAGACUUGCUGAGUCUUCCGGCCUUCAUCUGUCUUUCGUGUUGGAUACCUGCUGCCCUUGAACAUCAGACUCCAAGUUCUUUAGCUUUUCGACCCUUGGACUUACACCAGUGACUUUCCACUGGCUCUUGGGCCUUGGGCCACAGACUGAGGGCUGCACUGUUGGCUUCCCUACUUUUGAGGUUUUGGGAUUCAGACUGGCAACCUUUCUUCUCAGCUUGCAGACGGCCUACUGUGGGACUUCACGUUGUGAUUGUAAUAACCCUGUUUACAUUGAAACACACAAUCAAGCAAAGGAAAACUCUUUGAAUGUAUCAAGAGCAAUACCUGCAGCAACACCAAACUUGAAUUCUCUGGUGGGAGGAUUAGACAUUAAGCACAAGUAAAGCUUUGGAAACAUUUCUGUGGAGUGAAGGCAGAAGGUGGAUCAGAAUUCUAACCUCCACCCCGAGAGACACAACAGUUCUACACAUGGCGGAGACUCAAAAUCUGGCAGCUGCAUGUUCCCAGUUUUGCAGUUCUCGCAGGAAAUGGGCAUCUGCCCCAAUUUCAGCAAAAGAUUGGGACCAUGGUAAAGGGAAGCUUUUUGUUCUUCAUUAGCUCAAUACAAUUUGCAUUCUGUAGUUUUUUCAUCCAUUUGAUACGGACUUUUCACAGUGAUAUAAAAACUCAUAUUGAAAUAAACGGUAUCAUAAAAUACUCUUGAAAAGCUUAGAAUCUGAAUGACUUAACUGUAAGAGUUUACUUAGAGAAAAAUGAAAGAAAAUGCUGUGCACCUUUUCCUUUAGGUAACUCAAAGUCAAUAUUUGGAUGAAAAUAAAUCAUUGAAGGACUACCUAAGCUCAUGCCUAUGACAUUUUUAGAGUAUUAUAAUAAAUGGACACAUUCAAAUAAUCAUUGUACAUGUUACCAAAAGCACUAUAUUUUAGUGCUCUGCCUAUGGGGUAGCCAUUCUUUACUUUCUUAAUAAACUUGCUUUUGAUUUUUUUUUAAAAAAA